AGUGAACGCUGGCGGUAGGCCUAACACAUGCAAGUCGAACGGCAGCACAGUAAGAGCUUGCUCUUACGGGUGGCGAGUGGCGGACGGGUGAGGAAUACAUCGGAAUCUACUUUUUCGUGGGGGAUAACGUAGGGAAACUUACGCUAAUACCGCAUACGACCUACGGGUGAAAGCAGGGGAUCUUCGGACCUUGCGCGAUUGAAUGAGCCGAUGUCGGAUUAGCUAGUUGGCGGGGUAAAGGCCCACCAAGGCGACGAUCCGUAGCUGGUCUGAGAGGAUGAUACGCCACACUGGAACUUGGCCACCGUCCAGACUCCUACGGUAGGCCGCAGUGGCGAAUAUUGGACAAUGGUCGCAAGCCUGAUCCAGCCAUACCGCGUGGGUGACGAAGGCCUUCCGGUUGUAAAGCCCUUUUGUUGGGAAAGAAAAGCAGCCGGUUAAUACCCCGCUGUUCUGACGGUACCCAAAGAAUAAGCACCGGCUAACUUCGUG
rnacentral:rRNA from 1 species